AAAACACAUUCUAAGAGUUGCAAUGAUAUUUUAUUUUUGUAGCCUGUAGUUGUGGCCCUUGUAUGUUAAAUCAAAAUAUUGUAUGUAUGUUAAACAGCGUUGGAAUAAUAGAUGUCAGGUUUGAGCUGUAGAGUAGUGGAAAGAAUGUGCUUUCCCUAUUAUUAUUAUUUUUUGAAAAGAAUAUACUGUUUUAAGCCAUGAAGGAAUAACCAAGAAACCAAUAAAAUAUUAAUCAAGAAUUUGUUUACCAUUUAAAAGAAAAGAAUGUAGAUGUUUCCAUUGUCGAAAUUUCUCCUUUGUAGCUUGCUUAUUUUAUGCUUCCUUUCUGGUUUCUUAUGUUGAUAUAAAUUUCCUUGUUUUUGCAGGUACUUAAAACAAGGGAUUAUGU
rnacentral:misc_RNA from 1 species